rnacentral:tRNA from 1 species
GGCUGCGUAGCUCAACUGAAUAGAGUGUCUCACUACGGAUGAGAAGGUUAGGGGUUUGAAUCCCUUCGCGGUCACAA